UUAUAGUUUUCAUUUUAUUAUCUUAAUUUUUUAAAAAUAUAAAUGGAUGAUGUUAUAUUUCUCUUGAUCAUCAACCCUUUGCUCAUUUGAUUUAAUAAAAAUGAGGAUUAUCAAUUUUUACAUUGCAGAAAUGUUAUGUGUGAAACUAUAGGACCGUUCACGAAUUGUGCUGAAAUUGAGGUAUUUUAUCUUUAUAUUUUUCAAUUUGUCAGUACCUGGUUUUCAGACUUCUGUGCGUUAGAUUUCCUUAUCUUAAAAGUUUAUUUGUGUGAUUUCCAGGGUUAUUUUCUUAUUUACCAUUUUUAAAAAAAUGCAAUAAUGAAUCAAAUAUUGAAUAAUUGAAAAUUGUAAAGUUCACUUUACAUUAUAAAUGGUCAGAUGAUUAUUACAUGUCUGUGUAAUAUAUAAACUUUUUACUGUAUAUUUAAACAAUGUUUUUUUUUUUAAUUUUAGAAAGGCUGAAACUGCUUUAAAUAAUGUUUCAAAGGAGAAUGCCGCUCCACCAGAAACAAAAGGAUCCAAAGUAAUUGCUCAGGUGGCAUAUGUAACUCUUAAAGAAUUUGAUGCUGUUCCUAAGUACAUGAAAGGGCGUCUUAAAUAUGAACAGAUAAAUAAAUUUGUUGAUGAAUUUAAUGCUGUUAUAACAAAGAAAUAUCAUUUGAUGAGACUGCCUCGAAAAGAAUUAAAACCCCAACAAAUGGAUGUCAUUAAAAAA